rnacentral:piRNA from 1 species
UAGGCUCUGGCCAUAAUGUAUCACUUUGGGCC